rfam:Triticum aestivum genome assembly, contig: Triticum_aestivum_CS42_TGACv1_scaffold_500696_6BL
CACGUACUCCCUUCGUCCGAAAAUACUUGUCAUCAAAAUGGGUAAAAAGAGAUGUAUCUAUAACUAAAAUACGUCUAGAUACAUCUCUUUUAUCCAUUUUGAUGACAAGUAUUUUCGAACGGAGGGACUACAAU